ensembl:snoRNA Small nucleolar RNA SNORD111
CAGUGAAAUGAUGAGUUUACUCAUGUCUCUUCUCUGACAUAUCACUGGAGAGAUUGAAAACACCUCUGAUCACUG